rnacentral:rRNA from 1 species
UACGAAGGGGGCUAGCGUUGUUCGGAUUUACUGGGCGUAAAGCGCACGUAGGCGGACUAUUAAGUCAGGGGUGAAAUCCCGGGGCUCAACCCCGGAACUGCCUUUGAUACUGGUAGUCUUGAGUUCGAGAGAGGUGAGUGGAAUUCCCAGUGUAGAGGUGAAAUUCGUAGAUAUUGGGAAGAACACCGGUGGCGAAGGCGGCUAUCUGGACCGACAUUGACGCUGAGGCGCGAAAGCGUGGGGAGCAAACAGG